AUCUAUGGCUAUGCCACCCUGAACAAGCCCCAUGUCUGAUCUCAGAAGCUAGGCAGGGUCGGGCCUGGUUAGUACUUGGAUGGGAGACCACCUAGGAAGACCAAGUGCUGUAGGCA
rnacentral:rRNA from 1 species